rnacentral:rRNA from 1 species
GAUGAACGCUGGCGGCGUGCCUAAUACAUGCAAGUCGAGCGAACAGACGAGGAGCUUGCUCCUCUGACGUUAGCGGCGGACGGGUGAGUAACACGUGGAUAACCUACCUAUAAGACUGGGAUAACUUCGGGAAACCGGAGCUAAUACCGGAUAAUAUAUUGAACCGCAUGGUUCAAUAGUGAAAGACGGUUUUGCUGUCACUUAUAGAUGGAUCCGCGCCGCAUUAGCUAGUUGGUAAGGUAACGGCUUACCAAGGCGACGAUGCGUAGCCGACCGGAGAGGGUGAUCGGCCACACUGGAACUGAGACACGGUCCAGACUCCUACGGGAGGCAGCAGUAGGGAAUCUUCCGCAAUGGGCGAAAGCCUGACGGAGCAACGCCGCGUGAGUGAGGAAGGUCUUCGGGUCGUAAAACUCUGUUAUUAGGGAAGAACAAAUGUGUAAGUAACUAUGCACGUCUUGACGGUACCUAAUCAGAAAGCCACGGCUAACUACGUGC